GUCUGGAAAGGCGCGCGAUACAGGGUGACAGCCCCGUACACAAAAAUGCAUAUACUGUGAGCUCGAUGAGUAGGGCGGGACACGUGGUAUCCUGUCUGAAUAUGGGGGGACCAUCCUCCAAGGCUAAAUACUCCUGACUGACCGAUAGUGAACCAGUACCGUGAGGGAAAGGCGAAAAGAACCCCGGCGAGGGGAGUGAAAAAGAACCUGAAACCGUGUACGUACAAGCAGUGGGAGCCUCUUUUAUGGGGUGACUGCGUACCUUUUGUAUAAUGGGUCAGCGACUUAUAUUCUGUAGCAAGGUUAACCGAAUAGGGGAGCCGAAGGGAAACCGAGUCUUAACUGGGCGUUAAGUUGCAGGGUAUAGACCCGAAACCCGGUGAUCUAGCCAUGGGCAGGUUGAAGGUUGGGUAACACUAACUGGAGGACCGAACCGACUAAUGUUGAAAAAUUAGCGGAUGACUUGUGGCUGGGGGUGAAAGGCCAAUCAAACCGGGAGAUAGCUGGUUCUCCCCGAAAGCUAUUUAGGUAGCGCCUCGUGAAUUCAUCUCCGGGGGUAGAGCACUGUUUCGGCAAGGGGGUCAUCCCGACUUACCAACCCGAUGCAAACUGCGAAUACCGGAGAAUGUUAUCACGGGAGACACACGGCGGGUGCUAACGUCCGUCGUGAAGAGGGAAACAACCCAGACCGCCAGCUAAGGUCCCAAAGUCAUGGUUAAGUGGGAAACGAUGUGGGAAGGCCCAGACAGCCAGGAUGUUGGCUUAGAAGCAGCCAUCAUUUAAAGAAAGCGUAAUAGCUCACUGGUCGAGUCGGCCUGCGCGGAAGAUGUAACGGGGCUAAACCAUGCACCGAAGCUGCGGCAGCGACGCUUAUGCGUUGUUGGGUAGGGGAGCGUUCUGUAAGCCUGUGAAGGUGUGCUGUGAGGCAUGCUGGAGGUAUCAGAAGUGCGAAUGCUGACAUAAGUAACGAUAAAGCGGGUGAAAAGCCCGCUCGCCGGAAGACCAAGGGUUCCUGUCCAACGUUAAUCGGGGCAGGGUGAGUCGACCCCUAAGGCGAGGCCGAAAGGCGUAGUCGAUGGGAAACAGGUUAAUAUUCCUGUACUUGGUGUUACUGCGAAGGGGGGACGGAGAAGGCUAUCUUGGCCGGGCGACGGUUGUCCCGGUUUAAGCGUGUAGGCUGGUUUUCCAGGCAAAUCCGGAAAAUCAAGGCUGAGGCGUGAUGACGAGGCACUACGGUGCUGAAGCAACAAAUGCCCUGCUUCCAGGAAAAGCCUCUAAGCAUCAGGUAACAUCAAAUCGUACCCCAAACCGACACAGGUGGUCAGGUAGAGAAUACCAAGGCGCUUGAGAGAACUCGGGUGAAGGAACUAGGCAAAAUGGUGCCGUAACUUCGGGAGAAGGCACGCUGAUAUGUAGGUGAAGUCCCUUGCGGAUGGAGCUGAAAUCAGUCGAAGAUACCAGCUGGCUGCAACUGUUUAUUAAAAACACAGCACUGUGCAAACACGAAAGUGGACGUAUACGGUGUGACGCCUGCCCGGUGCCGGAAGGUUAAUUGAUGGGGUUAGCGGUAACGCGAAGCUCUUGAUCGAAGCCCCGGUAAACGGCGGCCGUAACUAUAACGGUCCUAAGGUAGCGAAAUUCCUUGUCGGGUAAGUUCCGACCUGCACGAAUGGCGUAAUGAUGGCCAGGCUGUCUCCACCCGAGACUCAGUGAAAUUGAACUCGCUGUGAAGAUGCAGUGUACCCGCGGCAAGACGGAAAGACCCCGUGAACCUUUACUAUAGCUUGACACUGAACAUUGAGCCUUGAUGUGUAGGAUAGGUGGGAGGCUUUGAAGUGUGGACGCCAGUCUGCAUGGAGCCGACCUUGAAAUACCACCCUUUAAUGUUUGAUGUUCUAACGUUGGCCCCUAAUCGGGGUUGCGGACAGUGUCUGGUGGGUAGUUUGACUGGGGCGGUCUCCUCCUAAAGAGUAACGGAGGAGCACGAAGGUUGGCUAAUCCUGGUCGGACAUCAGGAGGUUAGUGCAAUGGCAUAAGCCAGCUUGACUGCGAGCGUGACGGCGCGAGCAGGUGCGAAAGCAGGUCAUAGUGAUCCGGUGGUUCUGAAUGGAAGGGCCAUCGCUCAACGGAUAAAAGGUACUCCGGGGAUAACAGGCUGAUACCGCCCAAGAGUUCAUAUCGACGGCGGUGUUUGGCACCUCGAUGUCGGCUCAUCACAUCCUGGGGCUGAAGUAGGUCCCAAGGGUAUGGCUGUUCGCCAUUUAAAGUGGUACGCGAGCUGGGUUUAGAACGUCGUGAGACAGUUCGGUCCCUAUCUGCCGUGGGCGCUGGAGAACUGAGGGGGGCUGCUCCUAGUACGAGAGGACCGGAGUGGACGCAUCACUGGUGUUCGGGUUGUCAUGCCAAUGGCACUGCCCGGUAGCUAAAUGCGGAAGAGAUAAGUGCUGAAAGCAUCUAAGCACGAAACUUGCCCCGAGAUGAGUUCUCCCUGACUCCUUGAGAGUCCUGAAGGAACGUUGAAGACGACGACGUUGAUAGGCCGGGUGUGUAAGCGCAGCGAUGCGUUGAGCUAACCGGUACUAAUGAACCGUGAGGCUUAACCUU
rnacentral:rRNA from 1 species